rnacentral:rRNA from 1 species
UGGCGGCCCUUAGCGCGGUGGUCCCACCUGACCCCAUGCCGAACUCAGAAGUGAAACGCCGUAGCGCCGAUGGUAGUGUGGGGUCUCCCCAUGCGAGAGUAGGGAACUGCCAGGCA